rnacentral:rRNA from 1 species
UACGAAGGGGGCUAGCGUUGCUCGGAAUCACUGGGCGUAAAGCGCACGUAGGCGGCUUGUUAAGUCAGGGGUGGAAAUCCUGGAGCUCAACUCCAGAACUGCCUUUGAUACUGGCGAGCUUGAGUCCGGGAGAGGUGAGUGGAACUGCGAGUGUAGAGGUGAAAUUCGUAGAUAUUCGCAAGAACACCAGUGGCGAAGGCGGCUCACUGGCCCGGUACUGACGCUGAGGUGCGAAAGCGUGGGGAGCAAACAGGG